rnacentral:rRNA from 1 species
AGAGUUUGAUCAUGGCUCAGAAUGAACGUUGGCGGCGUGGAUUAGGCAUGCAAGUCGAGCGGUAGGAAGUCCCUCACCCCGGCCCUCUCCCAGAGGGAGAGGAUGAGGUGAGGGGCUUCUGAGAGCGGCGAAAGGGAGAGUAAUACGUAGUUACGUACCCCGAGGACCGGAAUAGCCACGGGAAACUGUGGGUAAUGCCGGAUGAUGUCUUCGGACUAAAGGUGUGAUUCCGCCAUGGGAGCGGACUGCGUUGUACUAGCUUGUUGGUGGGGUAAUGGCCUACCAAGGCAAUGAUGCAUAGCGGGUGUGAGAGCAUGACCCGCCUCACUGGGACUGAGACACUGCCCAGACACCUACGGGUGGCUGCAGUCGAGAAUCUUCGGCAAUGGGCGAAAGCCUGACCGAGCGACGCCGUGUGCGGGAUGAAGGCCUUCGGGUUGUAAACCGCUGUCGUAGAGGAGGAAAUUGAUUGGGGUUCUCCCCAGUCAUUGACCUAUUCUAGGAGGAAGGACGGGCUAAGUUCGUGCCAGCAGCCGCGGUAAUAC